UCCCAUCCAGAGAAAAAGAGGCAGUGCCUUCUUUCCCAGGAGAAGUCAGGGAGCCAUUGACUUUCCUGAUUGUUGAGACUCCUUUCUAUUUGUUCUGUUUUGAUUUUUCGGUUUGAGAGACUCCUGAAAAUCCAGGCUUGGAACUGCUGUUCUAAUGUUGGCUGAACUAAGACAGGAUUUUCUAGGAAAAGGAGAGAUUUCAGCUCAUUUAAACGCUGUUAUUAGUUUGGUGCUUCCAAAGCAUAGACACAAUAAUGGUUUUGCACUUUUCAAGUAAAUUAAGACAAUGGCAUUUAACAGGUGUUUCAAGAGCAUUCUUCUUGUCCCAGAAGUUUUCAAGGUAAAACCAAACUUAUUUACUUAUUGACUUUAUCUUUUGAUGAAAAUGCAGCAUUCUGUACUUUCCUGUGACUCCAGAAGUUAGUAACUGCAUUUUUCUGUUAGGGAUAUCCAAAGAAAUAGUUAAUGUCUGUUCCUGCAUAUGGUACUGUUAAUUUGCUUGUUUGUGUGUCUGUCUGCUCUUUGCUUGUCUGCUUCUGUGUGUGAUAUUUUAUUGGAGCACACGAUUUGAAGAAGCUGGCUGCCUGCUGUGGUAUUUAUCCUAUAUAAAUUCUCCAUUAAAUGACAAAUUUUAGACCCAUCAGAGACAGAAGACUAAGUCCAUCCAUUGAAAUCCUAUUUGUAUUAUUACUUCCUAAUGAAUUCUGUAUUACAGCAGGUGUCAAAUCAUAUCUGUUGUUUUGCAAUCGAGUAUGAAUAGAAGAUGUAUUGCUAUUGCAAAUGAAUCUAAUAUGAAUCUAAUGAGCAGUAAUGAGCAACUGUUUUGUCAUUAUUGAGGCAACCACUGUGAUGCUAAUAAACUCUCGUUUCUGCUACUUAGAAAAAAGCACUGACCAGGAUUUAUAUUGUGGCCUUAAUGUCCCAAAAGCCUGAGGCAAAAGAGAAGAGUGGAACCCCUAAACUGAGCAUAAUUCAGUAAUUUUCUGUGUGGCAGACUUCUUAUUUUCUCUUAUUAAAUGAAACCUGGUUUAAGGCUUUCAAGCUUUCUUACAUUUGAAAGGAAAAAAAGAUGAAAAAUGAGUGUCUAUUAAAGAAACAUAAAGUUAAGAAGAUGGGCAUUCUGCCUUAAUUUUCUUUAACAUAAGUACACUAAUUCCAUACUUGUACACUUGUCAGUGCUUUUGUAAUGCUGAGGUGACUGUGUGCAAAGUUUUAAAAGCAAUCACUUCAAAAGUAACAAGCCAUUAAAUCAAUAUAUAGCUAUAAUAUGUUUGGUGGGGGAACUGUCUCAACUCUAUUUUAGUUGGAACUUCAUUUUUAGUUUUUUUUAAUUUAUUUUCAUUGUGUGUGGAUCAUAGGACUGCUGAAUAAACAGAAAUACCUUUGAUGCAAUAGAAACAAUAGCUUAUUCCAUAACUGAAAUAUAAACAAGUUCUGACUCCUG